CAGCACCUCAAGUGGUCAGGAUGAUUAUUGGGCCUAAAGCAUCCGUAGCCGGCGCUGUAAGUUUUCGGUUAAAUCUGUACGCUCAACGUACAGGUUGCCGGGAAUACUGCAGCGCUAGGGAGUGGGAGAGGUAGACGGUACUCGGUAGGAAGGGGUAAAAUCCUUUGAUCUAUUGAUGACCACCUGAGGCGAAGGCGGUCUACCAGAACACGUCCGACGGUGAGGGAUGAAAGCUGGGGGAGCAAACCGGAUUAGAUACCCGAGUAGUCC
rnacentral:rRNA from 1 species